rnacentral:tRNA from 1 species
UGGGGCGUCGACAAGUGGUUAAGUCACCGGUCUUUGACACCGGCUUCGGAGGUUCGAAUCCUCCCGCCCCAGCCA